ACUUCCAGUGUUUCUCCGCAGGACGCGACGAAUCAGGCGACAUGGAAGAAAUGAAGUUUGCCCAAAACAUACAAAAUAAUUAUACACCACACAAAAGAUGAAUUCCGUUUGAUCAGUGAUAAAUGCUGGAGGGAGCCUGGGCUGAUGGGGGAAAGAGGAGCAGGUGACUGACCCAGUUCGCUUGGACAUUUUUUAAAUUGUUUUUUUUGUGUUUGUGUGUGUUUUGUAUUUCCUUAUGAAACUUCUCCUUUCUUAUGAAGCUUCAGGUUUAACUGCAGACCUCCACCCCAGCAGUCGGGGUUAAGAGUAAGAGCUGCUUCUUGUUGAGUGUGUGUCAACCUCUAUGCGGUUUUUACAGCUGACCAUGACUGAGAGGAAUCCUGGGAAAAAGUGAAUUGCAGUGAUGACACACACAAAAGUUAAUAUUUCAGGAAAUUCUGGACAAAUGUUGUCAUUGUUCUGAGGUCACACAGCUAUUUUUAAUCAUUUUCAGUAAGUGUGUGUUUGUGUGUGGGUGUGUGAAAUGCUCAAAUAAUUUAUACAUCAUAUUUAGGCAUUGCUUAAUUGUGAAAUUGUGGACUGUACAUUUUCUGUGCGCAAGCUGGUCAGCUUAGCCUCAGCUCAGUUUAAGGAUCAAGGAUCAAGGAACUUUUAUUGUCAUACCAGCUCACAUUUAUAUGCUUAUGGUAUGAAAUUAGGACUCAGGUCCCGGGAGCAAUAAGUAGAAUAUAAACAAAAAAGAAAAGUUGAAUAAAAAUAUAGAAAUAUAAGUGCAUACAACCACAAAAAAAAAGAAAUUUUAAAGGUCAAUUCAUGCAGAUUUGUGACAUUCACUAUUUGGUAUUUUCUCGUCAUGACUGUUAUCUGUAAUUUUUGCUACAACCCCAAUACAACGUAGGUGAGUGGAAUUGUGUCUGUGGUGCCCACAGCUUCUAAAAUAGUCAAGGCAGUGGCUUCUUGGUAAUGUGAGCUCACAGAACAUCUUCCUGUUGCUUCCUUCCUGUUUAUAUGGAGGUGUUUGAUUCGCAGUGGGGAGGCCUAUAUUAAGGCCUGUGAGUCUCACAGCUGUAUCAAACUCUUCAGCUCAUCAGCCAUGGACAAAAGUCUGCUGCUGGUCCUGUCUUGUCUGCAGGCUUUCCUGCUCAUCACGGCCUUCACUUCUACUGAUGCGGCCGCUCUGGAGAAGUUAGGGAUGACAUUUGGUCGCCAACAUCCGCGUCCUUUUCAGUUUCCGCAAAGAGAAGCUAGACAAAGGACAACAUUCAAACCCAAAGGAUGGAUCAAAAUACGUCCCCCAGGAUGUACGAAAAGACCUGGAGGGUGUGGACCUUUAACGAUGGCUUGAAUUUGAAACUGACCGCUGCCUUCAGGACAUGAGCAUCCCAGACCUCAUCAAUCAUAGCCCCACCAAGAACACAUCCCAUCUGCAUAAAAUCAUAUUCUGCAAACGUGUUGUAUAUGUAUAUAUUUUAAACAUGAUGACAAAUUUGGUUGAGAUAUAAAAAUUGGUAAGGUAUUUAAAUAUUUAUUUCAUUAUUUAAUACAAAAAUUUUAAGUACUAUUAAUUUAAGUAACCCCUUCCAUUUUUUCUACUCGAAUGUUGUACAAUCAUACACCAGCUGGAAUAUAACAGGGAUUUUACUGUAGAGAGUCUACUGUUACGAUUUGUACUUUACAUCUUUGUAUUGGUACAUUUACUUAAGUAAAAGAUUUGAGUUCUUAUUCUG